rnacentral:rRNA from 1 species
AGAUUGAACGCUGGCGGCAUGCCUUACACAUGCAAGUCGAACGGUAGAGUAGCAAUACUUGAGAGUGGCGAACGGGUGAGUAAUAUAUCGGAACGUGCCCAGUCGUGGGGGAUAACGUAGAGAAAUUUACGCUAAUACCGCAUACGAUCUAAGGAUGAAAGCGGGGGACCGUAAGGCCUCGCGCGAUUGGAGCGGCUGAUAUCAGAUUAGGUUGUUGGUGAGGUAAAAGCUCACCAAGCCGACGAUCUGUAGCUGGUUUGAGAGAACGACCAGCCACACUGGGACUGAGACACGGCCCAGACUCCUACGGGAGGCAGCAGUGGGGAAUUUUGGACAAGUGGGCGAAAGCCUGAU